UACGGGGGAUGCAAGCGUUAUCCGGAAUCAUUGGGCGUAAAGCGCCUGUAGGUUGUUUAAUAAGUCUGUUGUUAAAGACUAGGGCUCAACCCUAGAAAAGCAAUGGAAACUACUAGACUUGAGUAUGGCAGGGGUAGAGGGAAUUUCUAGUGUAGCGGUGAAAUGCGUAGAUAUUAGAAAGAACACCAGCGGCGAAAGCGCUCUACUGGACCAUUACUGACACUCAGAGACGAAAGCUAGGGUAGCAAAAGGGAUUAGAUACCCCUGUAGUCCUAGCCGUAAACGAUGGAUACUAGAUGUUGUGCUUCCGUACAGUGUCAUAGCUAACGCGUUAAGUAUCCCGCCUGGGGAGUACGCUCGCAAGGGUG
rnacentral:rRNA from 1 species